rnacentral:rRNA from 1 species
AUACGGAGGACGCGAGCGUUAUCCGGAUUCAUUGGGUUUAAAGGGAGCGCAGGCGGAGAUGCAAGCGUGACGUCAAAUUUCGGGGCUCAACCCCGUCUCGCGUCGCGAACUGCGUCCCUUGGUUGCGGGAAGGGGAGGCGGAACUCGUGGUGUAGCGGUGAAAUGCAUAGAUAUCACGAAGAACUCCGAUCGCGAAGGCAGCCUUCCGGCCCGUCAACGACGCUCAUGCUCGAAGGUGCGGGUAUCAAACAGGAUUAGAUACCCUGGUAGUCCGCACAGUAAACGAUGGACACCCGCGGUUUGGCCUGUAUGGCUGAGCCGCCAAGCGAAAGCGUUAAGUGUCCCACCUGGGGAGUACGCCGGCAACGGUGAAACUCAAAUGAAUUGGCGGGG